rnacentral:misc_RNA from 1 species
GAUGAAGAACGCAGUGAAAUGCGAUACUUGGUGUGAAUUGCAGAAUCCCGUGAACCAUCGAGUCUUUGAACGCAAGUUGCGCCCGAAGCCAUUAGGCCGAGGGCACGCCUGCCUGGGCGUCACACGUCGUUGCCCCCCCAUCUACUCCUUCGGGAUUGCGGGGCGCGGAUGAUGGCCUCCCGUGCGCCUCGCCGCGCGGUUGGCAUAAAUGCCAAGUCCUCGGCGACGCACGCCACGACAAUCGGUGGUUGCGAAACCUCGGUUGCCCGUCGUGUGCGGUCGUCGCGCAUCGAGGGCUCGAAAAAAUUGCCGAGUUCCGGCUCGGCUUUCAACGCGACCCCAGGUCAGGCGGGGUUACCCGCUGAAUUUAAGCAUAUCAAUAAGCGGAGGA